rnacentral:lncRNA from 1 species
UCUGUAAGACUUCAAAUAGUCUUCUAUAUAAGAUAUAAUAGAGCGAAAACUUUUAAUCCGACUUAAACAUUUUAGGUGGUAGUUAGGCCCAAGAGCUUAAGAGAGUUAAACGCGCUAGAACAUGAGUAGUCCUAGGAUGGGUAACUUUCUGGAAAGUUAGGGCGUCACAGUUGGUAUCAGAGUCAAUUGCCAGCCGGAAGUUUGAGAUGAAUUUCGGUUGAAUCAUGAUUGUACAGCGGAGAGAGCGAGACUUUCAUACUGUUGGCUGUUGUGGGUAGAGCGCGGCUCACCACAAAGGUCAAUUUAGGCUAGAAAGACGAGUCUCACAUCGCCUGAUACUUGUAAGGACGUCAGGGCUUAAGAGAAGAGGGGAAAUAUGUGAGACCCCUGAUAAAUUCUAUAUAUAAGAUAUAAUAGGACUAAAACUCUUAACCCAAUUUAAACAUUAUGAACGGUGACUGAAGUGUCACAUUAUCUCCUCCCCUUAAAAUGCACGGAUGAUCCUUUUAAUAUGCCCAUACGGCAAUUUGAUUCUUAGGGGGUGUUUGGCCUAGCUUUUAAAAAGCGCUUUUGGGCUGAAAGUGAUUUUCGGCUCAAUAGAGCGUUUGGUAACUCACUUUUAAAAUCUGAUUCUGCUUUUUAAAAUCAGAAAACUGAUUUUGAAGGCUCCAGAAUCAUAUGCAGAAAAAAGCUGCUUCUUGAAAUCUGAUUCUGAUUUUGAAUUUAAACUUCAAAUUUUUAUUUUUAUUUUAAUUUCAAUAUUUAAAUUUAAAUUUAAUUUUAAAUUUUAAUUUUCAGAUUCAUUUUUGAAUUUUUAAAUUU